AGUGAACGCUGGCGGUAGGCCUAACACAUGCAAGUCGAACGGCAGCACAGUAAGAGCUUGCUCUUACGGGUGGCGAGUGGCGGACGGGUGAGGAAUACAUCGGAAUCUACUUUUUCGUGGGGGAUAACGUAGGGAAAAUUACGCUAAUACCGCAUACGACCUACGGGUGAAAGCAGGGGAUCUUCGGACCUUGCGCGAUUGAAUGAGCGGAUGUCGGAUUAGCUAGUUGGCGGGGUAAAGGCCCACCAAGGCGACGAUCCGUAGCUGGUCUGAGAGGAUGAUCAGCCACACUGGAACUGAGACACGGUCCAGACUCCUACGGGAGGCAGCAGUGGGGAAUAUUGGACAAUGGGCGCAAGCCUGAUCCAGCCAUACCGCGUGAGUGAAGAAGGCCUUCGGGUUGUAAAGCCCUUUUGUUGGGAAAGAAAAGCAGCAGGUUAAUACCCCGCUGUUCUGACGGUACCCUAAGAAUAAGCACCGGCUAACUUCGUG
rnacentral:rRNA from 1 species